CCUACGGGUGGCAGCAGUGAGGAAUAUUGGUCAAUGGCCGAGAGUCUGAACCAGCCAAGUCGCGUGAGGGAAGACGGCCCUACGGGUUGUAAACCUCUUUUGUCGGGGAACAAAACGAGUCACGUGUGGAACAUUGAGUGUACCAGAAGAAAAAGGAUCGGCUAACUCCGUGCCAGCAGCCGCGGUAAUACGGAGGAUGCGAGCGUUAUCCGGAUUUAUUGGGUUUAAAGGGUGGGCAGGCGGAUGUGAAAGUCAGCGUUCAAAUUUCGGGGCUCAACCUCGUACUGCCGUUGAGACUGCGUGCCUUGAGUGCAGUAGAAGUGUGCGGAAUGCGUGGUGUAGCGGUGAAAUGCUUAGAUAUCACGAAGAACUCCGAUUGCGAAGGCAGCAUACCGGCGCGCAACUGACGCUCAUGCUCGAAAGUGUGGGUAUCGAACAGGAUUAGAUACCCUAGUAGUC
rnacentral:rRNA from 1 species